rnacentral:rRNA from 1 species
AGAGUUUGAUCCUGGCUCAGGACGAACGCUGGCGGCGCGCCUAACACAUGCAAGUCGAACGGAGUUGUGUUGAAAGCUUGCUGGAUAUACAACUUAGUGGCGGACGGGUGAGUAACACGUGAGUAACCUGCCUUUCAGAGUGGAAUAACGUUUGGAAACGAACGCUAAUACCGCAUAACAUGAGAGAACGGCAUCGUUCUUUUAUCAAAGAUUUUAUCGCUGAGAGAUGGGCUCGCGGCCGAUUAGGUAGUUGGUGAGAUAACAGCCCACCAAGCCGACGAUCGGUAGCCGGACUGAGAGGUUGAACGGCCACAUUGGGACUGAGACACGGCCCAGACUCCUACGGGAGGCAGCAGUGGGGGAUAUUGCACAAUGGAGGAAACUCUGAUGCAGCGACGCCGCGUGAGGGAAGACGGUCUUCGGAUUGUAAACCUCUGUCCUCUGUGAAGAUAAUGACGGUAGCAGAGGAGGAAGCUCCGGCUAACUACGUGCCAGCAGCCGCGGUAAUACGUAGGGAGCAAGCGUUGUCCGG